CGCCUCCUGACAAACCAAUAUAGAAGGUACUGCCUGCCCAGUGACACCUGUUUAACGGCCGCGGUAUAAUGACCGUGCAAAGGUAGCAUAAUCACUUGUCUCUUAAAUAGGGACUUGUAUGAAUGGCAAAACGAAAACCCAACUGUCUCCUCUAGCUAAUCAGUGAAAUUGAUAUUCCCAUGCAAAAGCGGGAAUAAUUUUAUAAGACGAGAAGACCCUAUGGAGCUUCAAACCUAAAUUAAUAUAAUAAUAUAAUAUAAUCCUAGGCUUUAGGUUGGGGCGACCACGGGGAACAAUAAAUCCCCCGAAAUAUAAUUAAGAAGAACACUUCAAAACAACACCACAGCUCAUAUUAUUGACCCAAUAAUUGAUCAACGAACCAAGUUACCCUAGGGAUAACAGCGCAAUCCUCUCAUAGAGUUCAUAUCGACGAGCGGGUUUACGACCUCGAUGUUGGAUCAGGAAUACCAAAUGGCGCAGCAGCUAUUAAAGGUUCGUUUGUUCAACGAUUAAAAUCCU
rnacentral:rRNA from 1 species